GGGGGUGUAGCUCAGUGGUAGAGCAUUUGCCUAACAUGUGUGAACCCCUGGGUUCAACACCCAGUAUCACAA
rnacentral:tRNA from 1 species